UCAACCCAAAGGCGGAGCACAGAGAUAGGGAAGAGCAUUCGAGAACUUUUGAGUGAACACAAAAGACCCUCCAGUGAUGGGAGCAGACGUACUGGAUGGGAGCAGACGUAAUCAGGCGUCUAUAGUCUAUCAGCGUUCAGGCAAUCUUUGGCCGAGUUUUCUUGGGGACAGACGGACACAGAACAGCACAAAAGGAAUUACAACAUAUGAAGGAUGGGAAGAUGACCCCACCAGACCCCACAGCUUGUCAUGAGAACAAGUUACACAGACGGAUGCUGUUCAAACAGUUUUCCUGAACAGCGAGCUCUACAAGGCGACAACGACAACGGUCACAAGAAAUUAAUAGUUGAACUUGGACGGCAAUCAGAUUGAUAGUAACCGUAGCUUUACAAUGCAUCACAAUCUAUCACCUCAACGAAACGGAAGUCAAUGCACAUGUAGUCAGGCUUGACUCUAUAGUUCCAGGAAUUUUGUCAGCAUGCAAACAACUUAUUAUACGGU